AUCCCAUGGUGAGGACUGGCCAGGAUGUAUUCCUGAAGCCUUUCCCACACCUCAGGGAUUCACUCCAUAGCUGCUUGCUGGAAACUGGAAAUCCUUCCAUGAAGGGU
rfam:Setaria italica strain Yugu1 chromosome VIII, whole genome shotgun sequence.